GCCGAUGUGGUGAAAUUGGUAGACACGUACGCUUCAGGAGCGUAUGCCGCAAGGCUUGGGAGUUCGAGUCUCCCCAUCGGCA
rnacentral:tRNA from 1 species